CGGAAUCAAAGUGCAUCAUUAGACGAAAACAGGUAAACUGCCAUUCCAGUCAGUUCCUCUUCCGCAGACAGUAGGUCUGUAGACUAACCUUGGCAUCGUAUUCUGUGAAGUCCUGGGGCAUCGCGUCUUUGUCAGCGUCACCACCGUGGGCCUCGGUGAAGUCGUACACGUAUUCGUCACAAAUAUCGCCUGUGAUAAAACAACGAGCUGGCUGUCUGAUCAACUAGCACCACUGAAACAGACCAAUCUGGAAUUCACAAUAUUAUACAGGCACCCCGAUGCAGUACUCACUGAAACACUUAUGUUGUGAUACAAUAUAUGGAGUCACACAUAUGUAGUUUAAUCGGUAAUAACGAUGAUGAAGGAACCGUGAGACAUGGUGUAUUCAUAAUAAAGAAAUGAUUUCAGCCAGACUGUAGGGCUGGCUAAAAUGAUCGA